GACGAACGCUGGCGGCGUGCUUAACACAUGCAAGUCGAGCGGUAAGGCCCUUUCGGGGGUACACGAGCGGCGAACGGGUGAGUAACACGUGGGUGACCUGCCCUCAGCUCUGGGAUAAGCCUGGGAAACCGGGUCUAAUACUGGAUAUGACUCCAUGACGCAUGUUGUGGGGUGGAAAGCCUUGUGCGGCUGAGGAUGGGCCCGCGGCCUAUCAGCUUGUUGGUGGGGUGANGGCCUACCAAGGCGACGACGGGUAGCCGGCCUGAGAGGGCGACCGGCCACAC
rnacentral:rRNA from 1 species